GGUUCUGUGGCUCAGUUGGUUUAAGUGUCAGGCUAGCGAAUUCGGAGUUGUGGGUUCGAAUCUCACCAGAACGC
rnacentral:tRNA from 1 species